GUAGUCAUAUGCUUGUCUCAAAGAUUAAGCCAUGCAUGUCUAAGUAUAAGCAAUUACAAAGCGAAACUGCGAAUGGCUCAUUAUAUAAGUUAUCGUUUAUUUGAUAGUACCUUACUACAUGGAUAACCGUGGUAAUUCUAGAGCUAAUACAUGCUGAAAAUCCCGACUUCGGAAGGGAUGUAUUUAUUAGAUACAAAACCAAUGCCCUUCGGGGCUCUCUUGGUGAUUCAUGAUAACUUCUCGAAUCGCACGGCCCCGCGCCGGCGAUGGUUCAUUCAAAUUUCUUCCCUAUCAACUUUCGAUGCUACGGUAUUGUCCUAGCAUGGUUGCAACGGGUGACGGAGGGUUAGGGCUCGACCCCGGAGAAGGAGCCUGAGAAACGGCUACUACAUCCAAGGAAGGCAGCAGGCGCGCAAAUUACCCAAUCCCGACUCGGGGAGGUAGUGACGAUAAAUACCGAUACAGGGCUCUUUUGGGUCCUGCAAUUGGAAUGAGUACAAUUCAAGUCNCUUAACGAGGAACAAUUGGAGGGCAAGUCUGGUGCCAGCAGCCGCGGUAAUUCCAGCUCCAAUAGCGUAUAUUAAAGUUGUUG
rnacentral:rRNA from 1 species